GGUUAAGCGACUAAGCGUACACGGUGGAUGCCCUGGCAGUCAGAGGCGAUGAAGGACGUGCUAAUCUGCGAAAAGCGUCGGUAAGGUGAUAUGAACCGUUACAGCCGGCGAUGUCCGAAUGGGGAAACCCAGUGCAAUUCGUUGCACUAUCGUUAACUGAAUACAUAGGUUAACGAGGCGAACCGGGGGAACUGAAACAUCUAAGUACCCCGAGGAAAAGAAAUCAACCGAGAUUCCCCCAGUAGCGGCGAGCGAACGGGGAGCAGCCCAGAGUCUGAAUCAGCUUGUGUGUUAGUGGAACGGUCUGGAAAGUCCGACGGUACAGGGUGAUAGUCCCGUACACCAAAAUGCACAGGUUGUGAACUCGAAGAGUAGGGCGGGACACGUGGUAUCCUGUCUGAAUAUGGGGGGACCAUCCUCCAAGGCUAAAUACUCCUGACUGACCGAUAGUGAACCAGUACCGUGAGGGAAAGGCGAAAAGAACCCCGGCGAGGGGAGUGAAAAAGAACCUGAAACCGUGUACGUACAAGCAGUGGGAGCACCUUCGGGUGUGACUGCGUACCUUUUGUAUAAUGGGUCAGCGACUUAUAUUCUGUAGCAAGGUUAACCGUAUAGGGGAGCCGCAGGGAAACCGAGUCUUAACUGGGCGUUAAGUUGCAGGGUAUAGACCCGAAACCCGGUGAUCUAGCCAUGGGCAGGUUGAAGGUUGGGUAACACUAACUGGAGGACCGAACCGACUAAUGUUGAAAAAUUAGCGGAUGACUUGUGGCUGGGGGUGAAAGGCCAAUCAAACCGGGAGAUAGCUGGUUCUCCCCGAAAGCUAUUUAGGUAGCGCCUCGUGAACUCAUCUUCGGGGGUAGAGCACUGUUUCGGCUAGGGGGUCAUCCCGACUUACCAACCCGAUGCAAACUACGAAUACCGAAGAAUGUUAUCACGGGAGACACACGGCGGGUGCUAACGUCCGUCGUGAAGAGGGAAACAACCCAGACCGCCAGCUAAGGUCCCAAAGUCAUGGUUAAGUGGGAAACGAUGUGGGAAGGCACAGACAGCCAGGAUGUUGGCUUAGAAGCAGCCAUCAUUUAAAGAAAGCGUAAUAGCUCACUGGUCGAGUCGGCCUGCGCGGAAGAUGUAACGGGGCUAAACCAUGCACCGAAGCUGCGGCAGCGACACUAUGUGUUGUUGGGUAGGGGAGCGUUCUGUAAGCCUGCGAAGGUGUGCUGUGAGGCAUGCUGGAGGUAUCAGAAGUGCGAAUGCUGACAUAAGUAACGAUAAAGCGGGUGAAAAGCCCGCUCGCCGGAAGACCAAGGGUUCCUGUCCAACGUUAAUCGGGGCAGGGUGAGUCGACCCCUAAGGCGAGGCCGAAAGGCGUAGUCGAUGGGAAACAGGUUAAUAUUCCUGUACUUGGUGUUACUGCGAAGGGGGGACGGAGAAGGCUAUGUUAGCCGGGCGACGGUUGUCCCGGUUUAAGCAUGUAGGCUGAUUGUCCAGGCAAAUCCGGAUAAUCAAGGCUGAGGUGUGAUGACGAGGCACUACGGUGCUGAAGUAACAAAUGCCCUGCUUCCAGGAAAAGCCUCUAAGCAUCAGGUAACAUCAAAUCGUACCCCAAACCGACACAGGUGGUCAGGUAGAGAAUACCAAGGCGCUUGAGAGAACUCGGGUGAAGGAACUAGGCAAAAUGGUGCCGUAACUUCGGGAGAAGGCACGCUGGUGUGUAGGUGAAGUCCCUGCGGAUGGAGCUGAGACCAGUCGAAGAUACCAGCUGGCUGCAACUGUUUAUUAAAAACACAGCACUGUGCAAACACGAAAGUGGACGUAUACGGUGUGACGCCUGCCCGGUGCCGGAAGGUUAAUUGAUGGGGUUAUCCGUAAGGAGAAGCUCUUGAUCGAAGCCCCGGUAAACGGCGGCCGUAACUAUAACGGUCCUAAGGUAGCGAAAUUCCUUGUCGGGUAAGUUCCGACCUGCACGAAUGGCGUAAUGAUGGCCAGGCUGUCUCCACCCGAGACUCAGUGAAAUUGAACUCGCUGUGAAGAUGCAGUGUACCCGCGGCAAGACGGAAAGACCCCGUGAACCUUUACUAUAGCUUGACACUGAACAUUGAGCCUUGAUGUGUAGGAUAGGUGGGAGGCUUUGAAGCGUGGACGCCAGUCUGCGUGGAGCCAACCUUGAAAUACCACCCUUUAAUGUUUGAUGUUCUAACGUUGGCCCCUUACCGGGGUUGCGGACAGUGUCUGGUGGGUAGUUUGACUGGGGCGGUCUCCUCCCAAAGCGUAACGGAGGAGCACGAAGGUUAGCUAAUCCUGGUCGGACAUCAGGAGGUUAGUGCAAUGGCAUAAGCUAGCUUGACUGCGAGCGUGACGGCGCGAGCAGGUGCGAAAGCAGGUCAUAGUGAUCCGGUGGUUCUGAAUGGAAGGGCCAUCGCUCAACGGAUAAAAGGUACUCCGGGGAUAACAGGCUGAUACCGCCCAAGAGUUCAUAUCGACGGCGGUGUUUGGCACCUCGAUGUCGGCUCAUCACAUCCUGGGGCUGAAGUAGGUCCCAAGGGUAUGGCUGUUCGCCAUUUAAAGUGGUACGCGAGCUGGGUUUAGAACGUCGUGAGACAGUUCGGUCCCUAUCUGCCGUGGGCGCUGGAGAAUUGAGGGGGGCUGCUCCUAGUACGAGAGGACCGGAGUGGACGCAUCACUGGUGUUCGGGUUGUCAUGCCAAUGGCACUGCCCGGUAGCUAAAUGCGGAAGAGAUAAGUGCUGAAAGCAUCUAAGCACGAAACUUGCCCCGAGAUGAGUUCUCCCUGAGACUUUAAGUCUCCUGAAGGAACGUUGAAGACGACGACGUUGAUAGGCCGGGUGUGUAAGCGCAGCGAUGCGUUGAGCUAACCGGUACUAAUGAACCGUGAGGCUUAACCUU
rnacentral:rRNA from 1 species